UCCCUGUUGGCUCAGAUGGUAAAGCAUCUGCCUGCAAUGCGGGAGACCCGGGUUCGAUCCCUGGGUGGGGAA
rnacentral:tRNA from 1 species